GCCUACGGGAGGCAGCAGUGGGGAAUAUUGCACAAUGGGAGAAACCCUGAUGCAGCGACGCCGCGUGAGUGAAGAAGUAUUUCGGUAUGUAAAGCUCUAUCAGCAGGGAAGAAAAUGACGGUACCUGAUUAAGAAGCCCAGGCUAACUACGUGCCAGCAGCCGCGGUAAUACGCAGGGGGCAAGCGUUAUACGGAUUUAAUGGGUGUAAAGCGAGCGUAGACGGCAGCACAAGUCUGGAGUGAAAUG
rnacentral:rRNA from 1 species